rnacentral:rRNA from 1 species
CAGAACGAACGCUGGACGGCAUAGCCUAAUACAUGCAAGUCGAACGGAGAUAGCAAAUAGUCUUAGUGGCGAACGGGGUGCGUAACACGUGAGCAACCUGCCUUAUACAUCGGAAUAACAGCUGGAAACGGCUGCUAAUACCGGAUAAGACCACACCAAGGCAUCUUGGAGAGGUCAAAGCGAAUUAGCGGUAUAAGAUGGGCUCGCGUCCAAUUAGCUAGUUGGUGGGGUAACGGCCCACCAAGGCAACGAUUGGUAGCCGACUUGAGAGAGUGAUCGGCCACACUGGAACUGAGACACGGUCCAGACUCCUACGGGAGGCAGCAGUAGGGAAUAUUGGGCAAUGGAGGAAAAACCUCUUACCCAGCAAUGCCGCGUGAAUGAUGAAGGUCUUAUGGAUUGUAAAGUUCUUUAAUUGGGGACGAAAGAAAUGACGGUACCCAAAGAAUAAGCCCCGGCUAACUAUGUGCCAGCCGCCGC